rnacentral:rRNA from 1 species
AUGGCGGUGAAUACAGAGGUCCUUUUGAAAGUUCCUCUUGCAGGUGAUAUUCCUCAAAGAGUUUGGUCAGGGAAGGAGGUAUCAUACAAGCACUUGAAGGUCUUUGGUUGCAGGGCAUUUGUACAUGUUCCAAGGGACAAGAGAUCCAAGCUUGAUAGCAAGACAAAGAAGUGCAUCUACCUCAGCCAACCAAGUGAAGAGUUUGGCUACAGGUUGUGGGAUCCAGCAAAUAGGAAGAUUGUGAGAAGCCGAGAUGUGGUGUUCAUUGAAGAUGAAACAAUAAAAGAUAUUGGGAAACCAGAGAAGCCAAUGACCAACACACCUUAG